UGGCAAACUUCGCAUGUGAUACCUUUUCGGAAAGCCCAAAGAGAGCCCUCUGAUGAAAGAAGCAGGACAAUGGAACAUAUCCAUUGAUUUUUUGUCGACUCUAAAUUUUGACCUUUAGUUAAGCAUGCUUGGGGGAGAGUAGUACUGGGAUGAUGACCUCCCGGGAAGUCCUCGUGUUGCAUCCCUCUUUUUUUUAAUUUGUUUUUUUUGGUUAAAACUUUAUGACUCAAUAACUUUUAGACGG
rnacentral:rRNA from 1 species